rnacentral:lncRNA from 1 species
GUUGAGUGUUGAGCUCUGAUUUUUGACAUGAUUGAUUAUAGUCUCCCCCUACCUGAUGCGCCAAUCUGUUGCGGUCAAUCUCCUGUUACGUCCGUCACUGGUGAAGAGCACCUGCAAGACAAAGUCCUCACAGACUGGAAUUGUGUCCGACGAAGACUCUCCGAUACUUAAAUCAGAGAGAGGAUUAGUGAACAGCAGAUA